GUCUCUGUGGCGCAAUCGGUUAGCGCGUUCGCCUGUUAAUCGGAAAGGUUGGUGGUUCGAUCCCACCCAGGGACG